rnacentral:lncRNA from 1 species
AAGAGAAUGGGAAAUGUUGGAGAGCUUGCAGAUAUGCAAUUGGAAGCAACAUGUUGGAGGUUAUGGCAUAAUGUUUGCAUAUUUGUGAGUAUGAAGC